CUAGCUGUGGCAAGUGCAUUACCCAUUCUUUUUACACAUGCACUUCUUCUUCUUUUAAUCUAACGCUUUUCUAAAUUGGCACUUGGCAAUUCACAAUCAUGGUACUUCUAAUCUUUAUCUAUAAGAUCUCAAAAUUAUUCAUCUUUAAACCACCCACUGAUGACUUUAUCUUGCUGUAUGGCUAAAUGAACUUUUUAUCUUUCAGUACUCUGUCAGUCAUUUUCUCUAACCAAAUGAUUCUAUCUUUGGAAAGUUUAACUCCUCUAGUGUUCCUUAGACUUAGAAUCAAUGACAAUGUAGCAG
rnacentral:lncRNA from 1 species